rnacentral:rRNA from 1 species
GGCUCAGGAUGAACGCUAGCUACAGGCUUAACACAUGCAAGUCGAGGGGCAGCACGGUGUAGCAAUACGAUGGGUGGCGACCGGCGCACGGGUGCGUAACGCGUAUCCAACCUUCCCGAUACUCAGGGAUAGCCUUCCGAAAGGGAGAUUAAUACCUGAUGGUGUUCAAAUUCCGCAUGUUAUUUGAACUAAAGAUUUAUCGGUAUCGGAUGGGGAUGCGUGACAUUAGCUAGAUGGCGGGGUAACGGCCCACCAUGGCGACGAUGUCUAGGGGUUCUGAGAGGAAGGUCCCCCACACUGGAACUGAGACACGGUCCAGACUCCUACGGGAGGCAGCAGUGAGGAAUAUUGGUCAAUGGUCUGACGACUGAACCAGCCAUGCCGCGUGAAGGUGACGGCCCUAUGGGUCUUAAACUUCUUUUGUAAGGGAGCAAUAAGGAUCACGUGUGGUCUGAUGAGAGUACCUUACGAAUAAGCAUCGGCUAACUCCGUG